rnacentral:lncRNA from 1 species
GCUAUACUCAGCAUCGACGCUGCUGCUGUAGUUGCACUAGAAGAAGUGAACAUUGGGGUAGCACGCCGACUCUCUGCUCUCUUCCAGAGCUUUGAACUCAAAUAUUCUGCACCAGGUAGUUUGCAACACAUGCCUCCAGCAGAAGCAGCAUUCGACAUCCUUCCGGUUGAAACAGCAAGAUCCAAGGAGAUCUCAUCCAGUGCAAGCUCUAGGCCACGAACCCGUGUCUCCAGUGAUCGCAUACCACUCUGUGAGCUCCCCAUAAAUUUCUGAAUUAAAAGUGAACAGGAAUAGUAAUUAAACAUCCAGUUCCUACUCACCAUGUAAGAAAGGUCAAUAAAAUAGAUAAAAUAAGCAAACAAAACAUUUAACUCAAACACCAUGCAUCAAGAGUGCAAAUGAUAUAGAAAUUCAAAUAGAUUUUGAUCCUAAAGAAUAUAAAAAAAAAAAAAAAGGUUGUCAUAUACAAUUGAGCUGGAGGCCCCAAGAGGAUCAAUCGCAGUUUUGUAUCCUUAUUUCACUGGUGGACCAAUCAUAGAAAAUUAGCUAUAUUCAGCCUGUUCGGCAAGUAUCCCAUUAUGGGAGAGUUAGACGUGAAAUGUCUAUUCUGUAGGUGAUAUUCAAAUUGAAAUAAUAGAGAGGUCAUUCCUGUCACAAAUCAAAAAACAAGAUGACAGAUAGACAAAAAAAAUGUGGUUGGCAGGGACACAACAAGUACCUGGAGGAGAUCUAGCAAAUUGGAUUGCUGCUUUUCAAUUUGAACAAGUUGCUUACGAAUUAAUGAUAGAUCCUCAUAGUCCUUCUGGUUCCUCAAGGUAAUCCCCGUUUCAUUACUAACAACCACGGUACCUUCUGAGAUCUCUUCAUGACAUGGGACUACACGAGAAGCAGACUUAUUAAAAAGGGUUCUCUUCACAUCCGGCUUUGCCAAUCUAUUUCUCUCCCCAACUUUUUCCCCAGAGCUCUCAUCUCUGUUCGUUGGGUCAUCGUCAGACAUUGCCUUCCCUGGAGCAUUGUGAGCGGCACCACAUUCAACUAUCAAUUCAUAAGGCUUCUUACGAUCCAGUUUCCGGAACAUUGCUGGACCAGUUUUCUUUUCGUUCUCAUUUACCGGAAUUCUUUUCCUGGCUGUGGUGAAAGAAGAGCCAUUGCAUAAAAGGAGAUUUUUCCUCACUUGAGGUGCACCGGAGGUGACAGUGCAGGGCGUCUUGGAAGCAGGCGUGUAUUGCCCGUGGCUCGCAUUCUGGCAUUCUGUAGGUACAAAAUCACAUUCCGACGUUGAGCAUCAGUAAAUCCAAUACAAAGAUUUGUUAUAUAUACAUCACCAAUACAAGGCAUCCAUUAAGAAUGAAGAAAUGAAGAUGAUCGGAUACCCAUUGUUGAAGAAUGGUAUUCAAGAUCUGCGGACGCCUCAUCAGGAACCUCCUUCCACGCCUCCACCAACUGAUUCAUGGUCUCCCGGACUACCUUUACCUAGAGGGUCCAAUUAAUUCACAUCAACCACCACGAAAUCCUUUUAUUUAUCAGUAGUAAUUUUAGCCGGAAAAAUUCUUUUAAUUUAAGAUAUAUGCACACGGAAGAAAUCAACUAAUACCAGUACUAGUACUAUUUGCUAGCUAGCAGUCAAAUUAGAAAGUAAUAGUAAUUUGAGACCUUGUCGAAUCUUUUGGCCUCGAAGGUCUUCAAAGACGCAGCUUUAAACUCGGGCAAGGCCUCUCUUUCCGCCAGAGCAAGCUUGAGCAGCGUCUCUGCGACGGCCUUCCUCGCUGCCCAAUCCUCACUACUCAAAAACUGCACCAGACAUGCCAGCAAGUUACUCAGCAUCAUCCCGGCAUGGGCCCCACCUGACUCGAUCACGGAUCCCAUGAACCCCAGAACGGCUGCCUUGGCCCUAAACCCCUCGCGCUUGACUAACUUCUGCAGCCUGACCAGGAGCUUCCUCAAGAGCACGGCAUCCGGCGGCUGGGGAAUGGACUCGAGGACGGCUGACAAGCACAUGGCGGCGCCGAUCUGAGCAUUGAGGUCCUGUUCGGUGAAGAGAGCUUCGAGGAAGGGCUUGGAGAGGGAGGAGAAGGAGGGCCUGGUGAGGUGAGAAGCAAGGGAGGUGGCAGCGGAGACGCAUGCGGGGCGGAUAGAAGAGUCGGAGUCGCGGAGGCGGCGGAUGAUGGAGGAGAGGAGCUUAGAGAGGUGGGGGGAGAGAGCGUCGGAGUGGUGGAGAGCGAGUAGAGAGAUCAAAUGCAGGCAUUGCUUGCGGACGGUGGAUUUGUCGGUGGAGUCGGUGGCGGUGAUGGAGGAGAUAAAAGGAGGAAGAUUGUCAGGGGAGAGGGUCUUGGCGAUGUUUUCGAGCUCGGAAGUGGCGGAGGCGUAGGUGUCUCUGUCGGAGAGCUUGUGGAGGUACGUCAGUACUCUGUGCUUCAAGUCACGUUUCGCAGCGGCGGCCGCUUGAUUCUGCUUGACUGCCGCCAUUGACUGUGACAUUGCGUUCGCGUAUAAAAAUUAAAAGAGAACGGCGGUUGAUACGUGGAGUAGAACUGUCUGAGUUUACGGCUGAGAAAUUGGUGAUGGCGGUUGCGCCGCUGGGACUUCCGGAAGCAUGGCAGCGAAAGAUGGUAGUUAUGGCGCCGCUGGGAUUCAUCUCAACUGCUUUAGAUAUCUAUACAUACAUAUAUGCUGUAUGUUCUUUUACCUUUUUCUUACAUUUUGUGAUAGUAGCAGUACCCAUUUCUCUACGCCUGCCUCUCUCUCUCUCUCUCCUGGUCCUGUCUUCUUUAAAGAAGAGGGGUGGAAGAGAACAUGGAACAUGCAACUGUCAUCCGCAAGUUACCAAAAGGCCGUUAAUUUGAUCGCAACGGAUCUUCUGUCCCACACCCUAUGCCACUCUCUCUCCCAUUUUUUAUUACCAUGUGUGUCAUGUUCUGUUUCGCAGAAUGCAAAUUUUAGUGGUGGUAGUAGCAGACUAUUAUAAGACUGGUGACAGUGGAGUGUGUGGAUAAGGGAUUAUUUGAAAUAAUUAUUAUAAUAUUUUUAUAAUGUGAUAUAUAUAAAAUAAAAAAAUAUGUUAAAAAUUAUAUUCGUGACGUAAGUAAAUAAUUUUAACUAUUCAAAUGAAUUAUACUCGGGAAAAAUAUUAAUAAUAAUAGGGAUUAUUAAGUAAGGAAAUUUUUUUUACUCCCUCUUUGUUUUUUAAGUUUCAUCCCUCCUCUUCUGCCGAAAAAAAAAAACAAAUCUUCAACACAUAGGGUCCAAGGUCAAGAAUGGAGUGGGAGGCAGUGAAUGCAGUAAAUUUGUCAACUUUUUUUGGGGUUUCUUUUCCGGCUAAAAUUGGGCUAGAAUAAUCAUGUAAGCAUGGCACAAGAGCAUCAUUCAAGUCACAAAUGCUUGUCAUCAUUUCAUUUCUUUCUCAAAUUUCCUUCUUACGUUAUUAAAGAUUCUGCGUU